AGUCGAACGCACAGCGAAAGGUGCUUGCACCUUUCAAGUGAGUGGCGAACGGGUGAGUAACACGUGGACAACCUGCCUCAAGGCUGGGGAUAACAUUUGGAAACAGAUGCUAAUACCGAAUAAAACUUAGUGUCGCAUGACACAAAGUUAAAAGGCGCUUCGGCGUCACCUAGAGAUGGAUCCGCGGUGCAUUAGUUAGUUGGUGGGGUAAAGGCCUACCAAGACAAUGAUGCAUAGCCGAGUUGAGAGACUGAUCGGCCACAUUGGGACUGAGACACGGCCCAAACUCCUACGGGAGGCUGCAGUAGGGAAUCUUCCACAAUGGGCGAAAGCCUGAUGGAGCAACGCCGCGUGUGUGAUGAAGGCUUUCGGGUCGUAAAGCACUGUUGUAUGGGAAGAACAGCUAGAAUAGGAAAUGAUUUUAGUUUGACGGUACCAUACCAGAAAGGGACGGCUAAAUACGUGCCAGCAGCCGCGGUAAUACGUAUGUCCCGAGCGUUAUCCGGAUUUAUUGGGCGUAAAGCGAGCGCAGACGGUUUAUUAAGUCUGAUGUGAAAGCCCGGAGCUCAACUCCGGAAUGGCAUUGGAAACUGGUUAACUUGAGUGCAGUAGAGGUAAGUGGAACUCCAUGUGUAGCGGUGGAAUGCGUAGAUAUAUGGAAGAACACCAGUGGCGAAGGCGGCUUACUGGACUGCAACUGACGUUGAGGCUCGAAAGU
rnacentral:rRNA from 1 species